rnacentral:rRNA from 1 species
GUUGUCCGGAAUCAUUGGGCGUAAAGCGCGUGUAGGCGGCUCGAUAAGUCCGCUCUGAAAGUCCAGGGCUCAACCCUGGAAGGCGGGUGGAUACUGUCGAGCUCGAGUCCGGAAGAGGCGAGUGGAAUUCCUGGUGUAGCGGUGAAAUGCGCAGAUAUCAGGAGGAACACCAAUGGCGAAGGCAGCUCGCUGGGACGUGACUGACGCUGAGACGCGAAAGCGUGGGGAGCAAACAGG